rnacentral:rRNA from 1 species
UGAGCCAAGUUUAGGGUUUUCUCAAAACCCAAGCAGUAUUGAACUGAAGAGUUUGAUCAUGGCUCAGAUUGAACGCUGGCGGCAGGCCUAACACAUGCAAGUCGAGCGGAUGAAGGGAGCUUGCUCCUGGAUUCAGCGGCGGACGGGUGAGUAAUGCCUAGGAAUCUGCCUGGUAGUGG